UACGUAGGGCGCAAGCGUUGUCCGGAAUCAUUGGGCGUAAAGAGCUCGUAGGCGGCCUGUUGCGUCCGCUGUGAAAUCCCGGGGCUUAACCCCGGGCGUGCAGUGGAUACGGGCUGGCUGGAGGCAGGCAGGGGAGAACGGAAUUCCCGGUGUAGCGGUGAAAUGCGCAGAUAUCAGGAGGAACACCGGUGGCGAAGGCGGGUCUCUGGGCCAUUACUGACGCUGAGGAGCGAAAGCGUGGGGAGCAAACAGG
rnacentral:rRNA from 1 species